AUUGAACGCUGGCGGCAUGCUUUACACAUGCAAGUCGAACGGUAACAGGCCGCAAGGUGCUGACGAGUGGCGAACGGGUGAGUAAUGCAUCGGAACGUGCCCAGUCGUGGGGGAUAACGCAGCGAAAGUUGCGCUAAUACCGCAUACGAUCUAUGGAUGAAAGCGGGGGACCGUAAGGCCUCGCGCGAUCGGAGCGGCCGAUGUCAGAUUAGGUAGUUGGUGGGGUAAAGGCUCACCAAGCCGACGGUCUGUAGCUGGUCUGGGAGGACGACCAGGCAAACGGGGACUGAGCCCCGGCCCAGACUCCUACGGGAGGCAGCAGUGGGGAAUUUUGGACAAUGGGCGCAAGCCUGAUCCAGCAAUGCCGCGUGCAGGAAGAAGGCCUUCGGGUUGUAAACUGCUUUUGUACGGAACGAAACGGUCCUGGUUAAUACCCGGGGCUAAUGACGGUACCGUAAGAAUAAGCACCGGCUAACUACGUGCCAGCCGCCGCAGUAAUAC
rnacentral:rRNA from 1 species